AGAGUUUGAUCCUGGCUCAGAACAACGCUGGCGGCAUGCCUAACACAUGCAAGUCGAACGAGACCUUCGGGUCUAGUGGCGCACGGGUGCGUAACGCGUGGGAAUCUACCCUUGGGUUCGGAAUAACUCAGAGAAAUUUGAGCUAAUACCGGAUGAUGUCGCAAGACCAAAGAUUUAUCGCCCAAGGAUGAGCCCGCGUAGGAUUAGCUUGUUGGUGAGGUAAAAGCUCACCAAGGCGACGAUCCUUAGCUGGUCUGAGAGGAUGAUCAGCCACACUGGGACUGAGACACGGCCCAGACUCCUACGGGAGGCAGCAGUGGGGAAUAUUGGACAAUGGGCGAAAGCCUGAUCCAGCAAUGCCGCGUGAGUGAUGAAGGCCUUAGGGUUGUAAAGCUCUUUUACCCGGGACGAUAAUGACAGUACCGGGAGAAUAAGCCCCGGCUAACUCCGUG
rnacentral:rRNA from 1 species